rnacentral:lncRNA from 1 species
UUCCGUGGUGGGUAAACCAGUUCAUUCAUGAGCCAGUCUUUUUCGAAAUUAACUCUUUUAAGAUAGUUAUAAUGUCUACAUCAUUAGAACAAUAAUUUAUUUUGCUUUCAUAUCAUUCUCCACUUGCCAACACACUUAAUGCUGUUCUCAUUGUAGCUCACUUGCUACACUUGUUUUUGAUCAUUGAUUCAUGAUAUUUAUCAGUUUUAAACUUUUCAAUGGCCUCAUGUUAGAUGUUGAUUUUCCUGUCUAACCUGAAUCUCAUUUUCUGUAUAUUGUAACAUUUUGUUGGUAAAUCAUUUUUAUUAUUUUAUUUAUUUAUUUAUUUUCAUUGUUAGACACUACUUUGCGUUGCUCCUAAAAUGUUGUAAUUGUACAAAACAUGCUCUAAACUGCCUUCAGUAUUUGUGUGCUGCCGUGGGGAGAGCUAGAGAAAGAGCAUUCAAAGUCAUUGUAUUCAGGGCAAUGUUUCAUUUAACCUUUUUUCGUUUAGCGUUUUUUUUGUGGAAAUGUUCGCAUUUACAAAAUGUUUCAUUUUUGUAUCUUCUAAGUUAGUAUUUCUCCAUCAUUAAAGACAAACACCAACAUCAUGAUUUUCAACUUCCUAACUUCUUAUUCAUUCAUAUAUUUUGUUUGGAUUUGCAUGUGUUUUUGAGUGAGGGCAAUAUCCCCCAUUUAAUGUGAUGGAACAUCCCCUAUUUAAUGAAAUAUUGGUUCAUUGAUUUUUGAAUUUUCUCUCAUUUAAUAGUUGAGCAUUGAUGAAUACAAUUAAUGCUGGAAAGAAUGUAUUCCUUCACCCUUGAAAUGCUAAGACCGAUUGUUCAAAUCGGCAGUUGAAAUGGCGACAUGAAACUGUCGAUUUUCACUGAUGAAAGUCGAUGAAACUCGACAUUUCAGCCGUCGGAAUGGAUAGUUUUUUUUUUCGUAUACUUUUUUCGUACUUCUGAAUUGUAUGCAGAUAAAUUUCGAUAUUAUGAUUGUGUCGUACGCUUAUCAUUGCUAUCUUAUAUGUUCAGUUAUAUCAAUUGAUUUGAGAUUCAUGGUGUUGUACGGGGGAGAUUUCGUAGAAGUGGAUGACAAGUGGAAGUGGAAAGGAAAUGAAACCACUUCACUCUUAGUUCCAAGUAAUAUCACUAAAGAAGAACUUGUGGAAAGAUUGAAGGAGAAGCUUUGUAUUUGUUCGUCCACACAAAUCGAAUUGAAGUUCAAAGUUCCGAAUUGGAGUGUACCUCCGAUGACAAUAAAAGACAAUAACGACUUGGAUUUCUACAUUCAAUUUCAUAAAGAAAAUGAACUUUAUGUUAGUCUUUGCAAAACAGAGGUGCCAAAUGGUUUGCACACAGACAGGAAUACAACCGCAGAAGAUAAUCCAGACAAUCUCCUUCUAGGUCGGUAUCUCCUCCAUCUAGUUGAAAAUAACAAUUAAAAUUUUAACAAUCAUGUCAUCAAUUCAUAGUUUGUUUACUAGUGAAAUCGUUGAGAUUAUUAACGAAUCUGAAUUUUAAAUAAUUAACACAAAUACCUGACUCUAGAUUUUCAUCAACUCCUCGGUCGCAUACAGCUCGUGCGGUUGUCGGGGUGCUGAAAUUAGACUGGAUCAUGUAUCUAGCUAUGAAGUCCUUUAGACUGGAUCACUUAUAAUGUUUACAUCAUUAGAACAAUUUUUUAUUUGCUUUCAUUCUCCAUUUGCCAACACACUGGAUGCUGUUCUCCUUGUAGCUCACUUGCUACACUUGUUUUUUUAUCAUUGACUCGUGAUAAUUAUCAUUUUUCAACUUUUCAAUGGCCUUAUGUUAGAUGCUGAUUUCCUUGUCUAACUUUGAGUCUUAUUUUCUGUAUAUUGUAGCACUAACAUUUUGUUGGUAAAUCAUUUUUUUUCAUUUUCAUAGUUAGACACUACUUUGCGUUGCUCCUAAAAUGUUGUUAUUGCACAAAAGAUGAUCUAAACUGCCUUCAGUAUUUGCGUGCUGCUCUUGGGAAGAGCUAGACAAAGAGCGGAUCUUAUUCAAAGCCAUCAUAUUGAGGGAUGAACCAUCUAAGAGAUACAAAGAAUUUCAUGAUAAUUGGGAACAAUUAAUUGAUGGGCUAAACACCUGAACUGUCUUUGUAUUUGUUUUUUGUCAUUUGUCAUGAAUGAUUAAGAAUUUACCUUUUAAAUGGACAGGCAAUGUUAUAAGUUGUGAAAGGAUGCUUUCUUGAAAUUCUCUCUGUGCAAGAAAACUCAUGUGUGUAUCAAUUAACUGUUUUGCUAGUUUAAUGCAGACACUGAACAAAUACCCCUGGAACCACAACAUCAGUGGCUGCGUGCUGCUGGAAUUUAUGACAUUCUUCGAAAUUACAAAAAGUUUAUCUGUUCUCCAAGGCCUCCGAAUAGACCCUCAAGUAUGACUUCUAGUGCCUCCCCGUUAACUUAAUAAUGGUCAGGUUUGUGAUGACUUUUGUCGGCCGUCAAACAUGGUUAACACACACAAAAACACAUGCAUUGACAUGUCUGUUUUGCCUUUUGUAAUUGUAACUUUUAGUUGUUGUCACAUAUGCUAUAAACGUGUUCCAAUUCUUUUUAAUACCAAUAUUUAGUGAUGACCUGUAAAAAUCUUAACUUUGAAGGUUUACUGGAUUCAAAUUAAUAAUGUUUUGACACGUUAUUCACGAAUUUGUGAUCUGAUUCUUUUGCAUGGCAUGAAAGGAGGUGUUGGCUAAAUUUGCAAUGAAAUUACCUUACGUACAAAUUUUUAAAGGUCAAAAAAAGUCGAAAGAUGACCAUUUAUUUGAUAUCGCAUCUUUCUGUGCUGCUUUAUUCAAUUACAGCCAAUACUAUAGGUGUUGUGGUGGUUCGCUUCUUAUUAUUAUCUUUUUUUUUAUACUGUGUUGUCAUAUUCUGUCUUCAACUGGACUCAAUAACUUAGGACUGACUUUUCUGUCAGAUGCAUCUCUUUGUAGUUCUGUUUGUGUUUCUAAAUGAGCAAUGGAAGUCUAAAGUUAGAUCUGCACAACAUUGUUGAAAGAUGUCUGUCUUCAUCCAGUCCUGUAUAUGUUUUUCUUCAAAUAAGAAAAAAAAGCUUUGUGACAGCUUUUCAAUAUUGUUUCUUUCUAGUUGAUUUUGAUUUUGUGCAUGUUAUUUUGAUAUAUUGUCCCAUGAAGGUGGUUCGCGAUUUCUUUUUAACCGCACCAAGGUACAAAACUUCCGAGAAGAUGGCCAUAACUGGAGGAAGAAGAAAGAUGGAAAAACUGUGAAUGGGACUAAUGAAAAGCUCAAGGUAGGUGCCAAUUGAUGUUGCUCUGCUUAUGAUUUUUCAUUUUACUGGGAAAACCUAAAAAGAUUCUUUUGAAGUGAUCACCUUUCUAACUAUAUCAGACAAAUCUGUUUUGAAAAAUAAAAGCUAAAUCAGAUAUAAUAAGUCAGUCUUCUUGUAAAUUAUGUUGAUGCUUCCACAAUAAUAUAUCUGGAAGCAUAUAUCUUUUCAGGUUGGAGGUGAAGAUAAAUUACGUUGCUACUAUGACCAUGGAGAAGAAGACAAAAAUUUUAAAAGGCGCAUCUAUUGGAUGCUGGAAGAGUAAGUCUGGUUUUAUUAAGUUUCAUAAUCUGAAAAAUUUGUAACCAUCAACUUGUGAUAAUUAGAUAAAAAACACAUAACAAAUCCAGUAGCUCUUCUACUUUUCAUUCUCAAGCUUUCCUGAUCUUCACAUUUCAGUCAAGAGGACUGCUGAACAUCCAAUGCUUAGAAAAGUUUACUUGCUUAACUUUCUAAGGCUGUUCGGUUCGAUUAGUUUUAGACAAUUUUCUGCCAUUUACUGAAUCAUAUAUAGGUUGAACAAUUUAUGUGUUGACGUGGGAAAAUUUUUAAUCCUCCAUAGUGAAAUUUUCAUCCAAAUAAAUGUCCACAGGUACUGGCCUUCUUUUCUGUCUUGUGGGUUGACUUAAAUUAACAGCUGAUCCACCAUUUAUUUAUUAAUAUUGGAAAUAGAUUUUUUUUCCUUCCAAUUUAAUGAUCCCAGGUCGAUUAUUUUAUUUAUUUUGUGUAUGGCCUAUAUAAAUGAGGUAAUAUCUAGGAUAUUGGUCCUUUUACGUACUGUCAAUUACACUGAUAUAUUUUUCUCUUCAGAUUGAUUGUAGUAGUAGAUUGAUUUAGUUUAGCUCUUAUUCUACAUUGUUAAAUCUGGGAGAAAUUACAUAUGUUCUUCAUAAACGUGUAUUACAUAUAUAUACACAUAGAGAGGAUGUUUCUUAUAAGGAAAUAAUCCUGUCAAAAUAAGAAAUCAAUCUAAACUUAUGCACCUACCAUAUAUAAACGUGUUAUAUAUGUAAAGACUAAAUUUAAACCUAAAUUAAUGCAUAAUUCCAUAACAUACAUCAAUUGACUUCAGAGACAAAAAUAAAUCUAGUAACAUUGUCUCAGUAGGUUGAAUCAUUAUGAUAGUUGAACAAUCCUUACUGUAGAAAUUGCAGAGGGACACUGUUGAUGGACUUUUGGAUCUCUAUGACAUAGUGCAAAAUCUUCAUGUUUUAUAUCCACUUUUGGCUUCCAGAGUUUCAGUAAGAAACAUAGGUGUAAAUUUUUGGAAGGUGUCUUUUGGUAUUAGUUCAUAAUUGGUGUUCCUUCUGGUCAUUAUGUCACUAUGAGAGCAGACUGUUUGGAUGAUUUCUGUUGCUCUAGAUCUUCGUGCUGUUUCUACUAGGUUGCAAUAGCACAAUCUUGUAAUUCACUGGAGGGGAAUUUAAUUAAUGGAAGGAAACUAUAAAGAAAAUAAUGUUUUUGACUGAAGACUAUUUAUUACUGGCUUUAGUAAUUAUAGUUUAUUAGAUAUUAGAAUUUCCAUGCAGAGUAAUGCAUUAUUUUAGGAAUCCUUAGACUAUACACUAUAUUAAAUAUAAGGACUCCUUGUAAAUCAGGUUAAUUCUUUCUUUGAAUGUAUUUAUGAUCUAAUUCAUAUAUUUUUCUAUAAUUAUAUUUAUUAUAGGAACAAUUUUGUUAAAUUAGCCCUUGUCCUGCGUCAGGGAUUGUAGAUCAUGUAUGUGCAUUUUCUCACCUACACUUGUGUUAAAUUUGUUUGGCAACUGGAUGUGCUAAAGUACUAAAAUUGGCUUCAUCUACUUGAUUAGGUCGAUGUAGAAAGUGGCUUUAUGUGAUCACAGUACUUGGGUUCAUUUUUCAUCCCCUCUACUUAUUUUUCAUCUUAUUUGGAGGAGUCUGAUUUCUUUUAAUUGCUGGUUUCUGCUUCAGGGGGUUGUCUCACAUAGUUCUUGUUCACUACCUGGAGGCAAAGGUAACGUCCUUGAUUGACGAAACUUGCAAAUGCACGGUAUCGUAGACAAGUAAUAUAAUGAUAAAUAAAGUAUCAUCCCGUUGAGAUUAUAUGUACUUAGUCUAGUGUUAAUAAAUUCUAACUUUAAUCGAAUAACCAACUUUUGAUUGUGAAUUUAUACUAAUUAAACUAAAUUAAAUAAUUAUUCUAAUGAGCAACUACCGACGCUUUUUAUAAAAUUAAGUUAAACAUGCACUAAGACUUCGAAUCCCCCUUGUUUAUCCAUUUAAUAGCAUUCAAUACCAUUACAUAUAUAAUUAUUCUUGUUGAUCAAUGUUCCUAAUUCAUUUAAUACUCUCUCUCUAGUAGAAUUAAGUGACCUUCCUAUAUCUCUACGAAAAUUCGAACAAGAAAGCAUACAUUAAAAACUUAGGACAUUUAUUGAAAUCAUGCAAGGCAUAACUGUAUAUCUCUAUUUUCUAUUGAAUCUCACAACAAUUGUGAUAACGUGCUAUCUAUCUUAUUACUUUUCUUGAUAAUAAUAAAAAUCACACAUCAAUCCAGUUAUUGAUCAUAUCACACAUAUAUCCAAUUAUUGAUAAGGCAAUUGAAAGGCAUUUAAUUCUACAACAGUCAUCCAAGAAUAAACAUAUAUUGAACUUCAAAGUAUUAAAAUUGAUAGUAAAUUUCAUAACAAAGGUUCAUCUAUGUUUUAGCGACUGAAGAUUUAGCAUAGCAUUACAAAGUUACUAGAAUUCAUGUUUAGUUUAGAAGACAUCACCCAGAUUCUUGAGAUGGGAAGAAAAAGAAGAGGAAUCACGAAUUCUUGAAGCUCUUCAAUAGUUCUUGAUUGAUCUCUAGCUGCACUUCUGUCUUCUUAGCCCAAAGUCCAAGAUGGAAUGUUCAAAGGAUUGAGUUCUUGUAUCUUGUCUCUUGAAUUCUCUCAAAAGAUUAGUUAUUUUGCCUCCUAUAUUGUAUGAUAUGAGAAUUAUCUUGCAAUGUUGGAUGAUGUUAUGUAGUCAAAGAGGUUGAAAUUUGGUCAAAAUCCGUGUCUAAGAUGGUUGCCAUAAGGAGUUUUAAUCAAAGGAGGAAAUUGUCCCCGUCUGUCAGAUUAAUGCCAUGAGAUCGCUACGUGAAGUGGGUUGUGAUCGCAAUGUCCAGCUGGUUUAACAUCUGCUUCUGCCAAAUGAUCGCAAGGAGUGAUCUUUUGUUGUUCCGCAAUUUGGUCCCCAUCUUUUCUUCUAAUUUCUUCUUGAGCCCUUUUCUCUUGCAAGUUCAGCCUUUAAUCUUCUAAUUUCAUCCAAUUCACUCCAUAUGGACUUCAAUCAUCAUUCCUUGGUUAGAAUCAACUUUUGGAUAUUUUCAAUUUAUUCUUCCUUUUUUGCCAUUCUUUGGCUUAGUAUCACUUCUUUUGAUUAAAAGCCAUCCAAACCCGAAUAUAUCCUACAACAAUCUAUAUUUCAUGAAAUUAAGUAGCAAUCCAAUCAAUUUGACUUUCAAAUAUUCACUUUUGAUGGCCUAGAUAUGUAUAGAAAUUACACCUAUCAGUCCUUUAUGCCUUGUCAGAUCAGCUCAUUAUAACAGCUGUAUUAGCACAUCUUAUCAAAAAAUGUUGAUCUUUGUGUAAUCACCUCUUGGCUUAAAGUGCAAGAAAGUUGAUAUAUGCUCAAAAUCUCUACUUUGAACUAAAUUAUGUGAAAAUCUUACAAUCUGAGGAUUCUGUUAUUUAAACAAUACUUACAAUGAACUAUAAUCCGGCCUUGACUUGAAUCUAGUCUUCAUGUACGUUUCUUUCUCUGAAUAUUAGCAUAUGGCAUCCUUUGUAUUUUUUGGGCAGCUGCAAAGUUUAUAAAAUUCCUGAAAUAUUUGUUUUCUUUCAGGAAAACAGAACAAAUUUCAAUCGCGUUAGGGAGUCUGAAGUUAUUCCUGAUUCUCAAAAACCAAGAGAAAAUAUACGCAACUCCGAGGUUGACAGUUCUGUAUUUUCAGAAUCCCGAACAUAUAACUAUGAAGGAACCUUGCAAGUUACGGAUUCUUCUAACCACAACAUUGCUCAUGCUUCUGAGUUUAAAAAUGCUGAAUCAGGUUUUCUUGCUGUGCAUUUCUUUCUUUUUCAUUAUACAGUAUUACAAUCCAUGAAGCUGCAUUGAAGUUUUUUUUUUUGUUUUCUGUAACUGAAUUACUCUCAAAAAUCAUUUAUAUUCAUAGUGAUCGCUAAAAAAAUUAUAUCUGCAGUACAUUGUCAACAACAAAGUCCAGGAUUCCAGCCUUGUGACAAUGUAUCGCAACCCAUGGUAAAGAAGAUGAGAGGUGGUUCAAUUCCUUAUUAUGAUGUCCCUAUAUCAGGUAAUGUGCCAUCAUCCUUUUUUCCGGCUGUAGCAUUAACAAUUAGUGUCUGUUUGAUUGCAAAUAUAGAAUUUGGGUAGAAAGAAAACAAAUUUCAGGAAAUUGAUUGGUAUAAUUUUUCACAUGGAAAAUGUUGAAAUAAAAGUGUUUUUUAGUGUUUGUUUGGCUUUGUUUUAUAUGAAAAUUGUUAAUUAAAGGGAUAAAAUUUACUGGUAUUGGGAAUGAAAUUUGUUUUUAUUGCCAAAAAAAAAAAUCAUUUAUAUUUUGGUGCUCAUUCGGCUUUGUUUUACAUGGAAAUUGUCAAUUAAAGGAAAAUAUUUUUUUACAAUUAGGGAUAGAAUUUGUUUCCAUUGCCAAAAAAAUUUAAAAAAAAAAUGGAACAAUAGCCUAGAAAACCAAGAAAAGUCCCCUUUUCAAGAAAAUCAAUUUCAUGGAAAAAAAAAAACUAUCAAAAAGCCAAAAAGUGAAAGUUGGAAUUUGAAUUCCAUUUUCCAUGGAAAAUAAUUGACUAUCAAACAAGCCCUUAGAUGAUUUCACUUUCAUGGUUAGUUGGACCAUUUCUGUGGCAAAAUCAUUUUUGCCCUUUAGUUCAAAAUUUUGGACAUUAGUGGAUAUUGAAUAAGUCCAAAAAUGCAUUUAUGUGGCUGACUUCAUGUUUGUUGGGAUUGCGACUUGGUUAUAAUUUGAAAACAGAUAAAAAAUGAAUAAUUAAAUUCUAUUACUACAUGAGCUUGCAUAUCAAAAUUAAAUAUUAAUACUAAAGAAUGUAGCACAAAGGCAUUAUUAGACUGUGAUAGUUAAAGUUAGACAUUCAUCCAAUGUUGGACGGUGGAAUAUUUAAUUUUGUACUUUUACAUAGUUGAUGAUUAUCCAAAUGAUUUUAUAUUGAUAAUGAUUCCGUAUUUCUGCAGAUGAUUGUCAAGGACAAUGCUUAGAUAUUACUGUUCAAAAUGUUGAAUCAAAUACACGAAGAGGAAAAAAUAAAAACGUCAUGGUCCAAUCUUGGGAAAAUGUUGUAUAUAGCAAUACUGAUGGCUUCCAAACGACCAAUUUUCAGCCACUGUUUUCUUCAGCCCAAAGUUCAACUGGCAUGAUGCUUGGACAUGAAAAUGAAUUGCUGGAGCAUGUUGUUUCUGGUGCCAUUGGUACAAGGCAAGAGUUUGGAAGCCAUUCCAAUUUCUGGGUACGGGUUGACAUCACUUUUACAUUUUCUAUGCACCAUAACUGAUAGCAUAGCAGCAGAUGCAAAUAUUAUAGCUUGAAUGUGCCACGUUAGGACUAGAUCGCUCUAUCCACUGGCUUUUCCUCGAUCCUCUUUGACAUGGUACAAGUAGAUGUUUGCUGUAGGAAAUUGAGAAUGGAUCUUGGAGUUCUAUAAGUGCAUGGGUAGGAUGGGUUUUCGUAACAGAUGGAAAACAGUUUUGAUAGGUUUAACUUGCUUAAGAUGCUUCCAUAAUAUGGUAGCUUUUAUGUGGUCUUUAGAAGUUAAAACUCAUCUUUAAACACCUAUUCGCCUGUUCCUUAAAAAAAUAGUUGAAAGAACUAGUUCAGAAGGUAGGAUUCUUCCUAUGUUAUUCUAGUUUUUUGAAGUGGCCUCAGCAAUUCUUGCCUCAUCCCCUCGAAGUUUUUCAAUCUAGUUCACGCGUUUCUUUAAUCGUAAAAUUUGGUGCUUUUGAGUUUCAUAAUCAAUUGCAUCUGGAAAUACUUGUAGUUUUCUAUGUCAAUAAAAAAUGCAGUGAUAUUUAUCAUGUUGUGACGUUGAGCUUCUAUGCUACAUCUUAUGCACAUAAAGUACAAAACAGUUUCUUUUCUUUUUUCUCUGGAUUUUGAAAUUAAUCAGUCUUCUGAAUGUGAUUUUGUAUGUGUAUUAUAAUGGUCUACGAAUCAGAAGUUGCAUGGGAAUUCCAGACAUGAUCCAUACAGCAAGAUUCAUGAUGUUAAUAAUGAGGAGCUGUACGACACCAUGGGGCCUUGCAAUACAUAUCCAUCCAAUCAAAAUAAACACACUAUGCGUAGUGAUCAUCGAAAGCAAGAUGGCUUAGACGGGCUUCCAAGAGAAGGCCUGAAAAUGCUUGGCAACUUUGACCGCUGGGAGAGUGAAUUUGGAGAUGUUACUGGUUCUCGGCGCUGCUCAGAGACAAUUGAUAUUGAAGGUGGAAGUGAUUCUUUUAUAUCUGCUCAAGUGCCGUUGGACAACAAUAUUCUGGACCGCUCUCCCUAUAGAGACCCGCACUACUCGCACUUUAUGCCUAGAAACUUCUUGAGCUCGCAGUAUGAUUUGUCAGGUUAUAGUUUUGAAAACGAGGAUGUGGAUGUGGAGCCACAGAUUGUACAAAUUCGGGGACCUGGCCGAGCUAACCCUGUUUCCGGCCUCCCCCUACCACCGGCUCCGUGCCCACCACCACCACCACCACCACCACCACCGGCUCGGUGUUGCGCACCACGACCACGGGCUCCGUGUUGCCCACGACGACCACGGGCUCCGUGUUGCCCACCACGGGCUCCGUGUUGCCCACCACCACCACGGGCUCCGUGUUGCCCACCACGGGCUCCGUGCCCUGACGCGUAUCCGUGCUCUGGCUUUCAGCGCUCUAACUUUCCUGCAGAAAUGAUGUCAGAUAGCCCUCUUUUCCAUUGCGAAUUCCCACAAAAGACUGGAAGUGAACCGAUGAGGACAUUAGCCAUUUUAUUUAUUUUUCUAGUUGGACUUAAAAUAUGUUUUGGAUUCUUAUUUAUGUAAUUGGGUUUGUAUAAAGGGUUUGGCCCAAGUCCAUUAUCAUUAGGGUUAUAUUUUUCUAUUUAAACCGAAUUUGUCAUAAAAUUGGGACAGUUGAUGAUUAUGAUGAAUUGAGAUAGGUUAUGGCGUCUCCUACUUCUUCCUUCCCCUUAAUUUAUGCUUUUUCUCUGAUUUCUCUCUGUUUUCUUCCCCCUUUUUUGAUGCCCUCUUCUUUAUCCUGCAUCAACUUUGGUACUAGAGCAAAGUUGGGUAAUAUUUUUUCAUCUGAUCCAUCAAAUUUGCUUCAAUUAUUUUUCUUGAAAUUUCCAUCCAUCUUCACAAAUUCACGCACCUGACAUGUCCAUAAUUGUGAAUCAUUAAUCAGUUUCUCCAAAAUCUUGGAGCAGUACAAUAGAAAGAAUUUGUUGUGGUAGCAGUUUCUUCUUUUUCUAGUUGCUUUCUUAGUCGAAAGUGUAUAAAAAAAGAGUUGGAAAAAAAGGGUUACUGUUCACACUCGAAAAUUUAGUUUGUGAAUUUCUGUCAGUUUUUGAAGGGGAAAAUUCAUUUUUUUGCUGCGGUCUCAGAUUUAUUUUGCUGCCAAAUAAGUAUUGUGCUGCUGUACAAGCUCUAAACUACCAAGUCUAAACCACAUCUCCAGCCCACCAAUUUAAGCCCACAUGAUAAAUUAGAGAAAAUUAGGCCCAUUACUCUAAAAAAAAAUAACAGAUUAGAUUUAUACCCUAAAAAAAUAAAAAUAUUCUCACACCGUAUUUAAUACUUUCAUCUCCUUCUUCCAUAUCACCACAUCCACAAAUCCCACCCCAAUCACACCAGAACCUCAACCACUGUACCCCCAUCUCCAUUUUUCAUAAAAUCACAUUUAAAUUUUCUUUCUUCAACCUAAAUUUCAUAAAUUCCUCCUCUUUCCAGUUCCUUGUAUGCUUCACUAGCCAAAGUAAUUGUCCUCUAAAAUGGCUCCAUUUUCACCCACAAAUUCUAACAGGUAAAUGAAGCAAUUCCGUUAUUUCGUCAAUCAUAUACUAUAGUUUGGAUUUUUCUAUUUCUAUUAUUUGUUGCUGAAAGGUUGUGGUACAAUGAUGCAAUUGUGUGAGUUGACCAGCUGACUUUUUCCGUGUUAUUUUUAAAGUGUUGGCUGGUUUGUUAAAAACGUGAUUUCAUCUUAAAACCGUGUUUCUUCUAAUGGACGCCCAUGAUGAUGCCAUGUGUCAACCGCAUGUCCAUUGGAUGGCUGACCAUCUGGUGACUCAUUUAAAAGGGAGCCCUAGGGUUGAGACGCGUGAAUUUUUCUGGUUUUCUAGAGACUUCUCUCUACUCUGGCCAUUCGAGUUUUUCUUUUCCUUCUCUCUGAAAAUCAAAGAUCUCAUUUGAUUUUCAACACUUUCUCAAAUCGGUUUUUUGUAAUCUUGAGUGAUUCUUUAUGAGAAAUGGUGUGUGUUCUUGUGUGAACCUUUUUGUAAAGUGAGAAGAUCGAAUCUUUUGUGAUCUUGGGUGAUUUUGGUCUAAGUGAAACAUCAUGAUUUCUAAGCCCUGGUUAAGAUCAAUUCUCGCAGUGGGUGGUUUCUGGAGAUAGAAGCAUUUAUUCUUGGGAGAUUCAUCGAUUGUUAUUGCCUUAGGGCAUUUUAAUGAGAUCUAUUUUUCUUGUCUUUUGAUCUCAUAUUACUGUACAUUUUUAUUGUUGUAAUAGCUAAUAUUUUGGAAUCUCCUCUUUACAGUGGUAUCACAGUAGUUGGACGGAGAUUCUUGGCUUUGAUUCGUGUAGAUCUGAAACUGCGACACUUAUUUUAGCUAACUUUCGUUAUUUCUUGAAACCUUAUUGAAGGGAUUUGGUGAGAUUGUUCUGUUUUUUUUUUUCGAUUAAUACUAGGAUUAAUUUUAUAUACGCUGUAAGUUUGCUGCAACUGUGAUUUAAACCCUUGAUCUGCGACUGGCUGGGUAAUUCCUCUGUCCAGAAACCCUAGAGUUGUCUGGAAUCUGAGGGUUACCUCGACUUAAGUCAAGGGUCUCGAUAUUGAUAUACUGGUGUGAUACUUAUUGGUGUGUAAUCUCAGAUUCUCAGUUCUUGGUACUUAAAUGUGAUCUGUGUCAAGAAAAACACUCUGUGAUUGCAAGACUUUGAACAAUUCCUAUGAAAUAACUGAAGUUCCUUACAACUUGCGAUUAUUGUACUUGAGUUGGUUUAAGUUGUAAGUUUCUGUGAAGUGUCAACCUGAUCUACAUAUAUUGUGACUGCAUUCCAUUUUUUUUUUCUAAAAUAAUGACAGAUGCAAAAUUUGAAUUGGAUGUUUUUAAUAGCAAAGGAGACUUCAGUCUUUGGCGCCAAAAAAUGAGGGCAAUUUUGUUACAAAAAAAUGUGCUAAAGCUAUUGAUAAAACAUGGCAUGCUGAUUUAGAAGAAACCAAGAAAACUAAACUUGAUGAAACUGCCUGUAGUUCAAUUUUUCUGCAUUUAUCUGACAAUGUACUUAGAGAAAUUGGUGAGACUAAGACUACUGCUGAGUUGUGAAAAAAGUUGGAAGAUACAUACUUGAACAAUUCUAUGCCUAAUAAAGUGUGUUUUCCAAAACAGUUCUUUGGUUUUAAACUUAACCCAUCCCUUGAUCUUGAGGUUAAAAUUGAUAGAUUUAACAAAUUAUCCCGUGACCUAGCCGACUGUGAUGAGAAACUCUUAAAAGAUCAGUUGGCUGUGAUAUUGUUAAAUUCAAUUGGUGAUAAGUAUAAAGAUGUUAAAAGUGCCAUUGAAUAUGGAAGGGAAACUCUAACAACAAAUGUUAUUAUUAAUGCUUUAAGGAAUAAAGAGUAGAGUUAAAAUCUGGUAAGAAAGAAUCUAUCAAUUGGGAGAACUUGAUGGCUAAGUUUAAGUCUAAUCCUGAGACUGUGAACUUCAACAAGAAACAUGGAUACAAGAAAAAGGCAAAUCCUAAGGAUAAAAUGAAAAUGAAGACUAAAGGAAAGAAGUGUUUCUAUUGUCUUGGUAGGGGUCAUUUGAUCAAAAAUUGUCCCAAAAGACUUAGUGAUUUGUAAAAUAAAUCAAAGGAUGAUGGUGGUGUAGCCUUAGCCUAUAAUAAUGAGACUUUAAUUGAUGAAGUUUAUGUAGUUGUAAAUUGUCCACCUUGUCAAGAGUGGAUUCUUGUUUUGGCUUGCACCUACCAUAUGUGUACAAAUAAAGAAUGGUUUAUUGAGUUUGAAAAUGUAAUUGGUGGUAAGGUUUUAAUGGGUAAUCACAUAACAUGUCAAGUUAGGGGAUAGGGACUAUCACUUUGAAAGUAAAAGGACAUAAUGAACUGAUUUUGGAAAAGACUGGAUAUGUUCCUGAUUUAUAAUGAAAUCUAAUUUCCUUAGAGGUUCUAGAUGACCUAAACUAUGACAUAGUCAUUAAUAAGGGAUACAUUAAAAUCUUAAGGGGUUUAUAAGUAAUUAUAGAAGCUCCUAAGAGACAUGGACUAUACAUUUUACAAACUCGAAAUUUUUUAGACUCCAGAUCAGCAACAAUCUCAGUCCAAAAUGAUAAGUUACAGACAUAGCAUAAAAGAUUGGGCCAUAUUAGUGAUAAAUGGCUACAGAUUUUGAAAAAACAAGGUGCCUUUAGAAAUGAUAACAUAGAAAAACUCAGUUUUUGUGAUUAUUGCAUUCUUGGAAAACAUAAUAGAUAACCUUUCUUACCUGGAAUGCAUAAAUCUGUGUCUAUAUUUGAAUGUUUGCACGUUGAUCUUUGGGGGCCAGCUUCUGUAACAACUCAUUCUAGUUUUAAAUACUUUCUGUCAAUUAUUGAUGAUUUUUCUAGAAAAGAAUUGGACUUUUCUUUUAAAAUCAAAAUCUGACACUUUUAAUGUUUUCAAAAAUUGGAAAACUUUGAUUGAGAACCAAACUCAGAAAAAGAUUAAGGUCUUAAGGACAGAUAAUGGUUAGAAAUUCUGCAAUUUUGAAUUUGAUGAUUUGCGCAAAUCUUUUGGCAUACUAAGACAUAGAACAGUUGCACACACCCCACAACAAAAUGGUUUGGCCAAGAGAAUGAAUAGAACAAUUCUUGAAAAAGUGAGAUGUAUGCUUUUAAGUUCAGGCCUACCUAAGAUUUUUUGGGGGAAAGCUAUUAAAACUGUUAGUUAUCUGAUUAAUAGAAGCCCUUCUAGUACUAUACACUUCAAAACCCCUAAAGAGAUGUGGGGUGAAAAACUAGUAGACUUCAGUAACUUGAUGGUAUUUGGUUGUGCAGCAUUUGCACACCAAUCUGAAGGAAAAUUAGAACUUAGGGCUCUUAAAUGUGUAUUCUUAGGCUAUGGUGAAGGGGUGGAGGGGUAUAAGCUAUGAGUAAGGGAAAACAAAGGCUAUAAGAUCAUAAUUAGUAGGAAUGUGGUGUUUAAUGAGAAUGAUUUGCCCUGUGUUAAAUCUAAAAAUCAAAUUGAGACCUUAAGUCAGGAUAAAAAUGUGGAAAAGGGGGUUGAAAUUGAGGUGGAGUAAUCUGAUGAUGAAAAUCAUCAGAAUACUACACAACCUGAUGAGAGAAAUGAGGAGAUACCUGGUGAUGGUGUUCCUAAUAAUGAAUCUGAACCUGAAUUAGAAACUGAUUAGCCUUUAGACAAUUAUCAACUUGCUAGAGAUAGGCAAAGAAGACAAAUAAGGCCUCCUGUUAGGUUUGAUGAAGAUGUAUCUUUGCUAUCUUAUCAAAGUAUGAUUGAGAAUGAGCCUGAGUCCUUUGAGGAAGCCAUAAAUAGUAAAGACUCUAAGGAAUGACUUGCAGUAGUGCAAGAUGAAAUGCAAUCACUUAAAAAGAAUAAAACUUGGGUUUUGGUAAAAAGACCAGAAGGAAAAAGGGUUGUUGACUGUAAAUGGAUUUUCAAAAUUAAAAGAGGUGAACAAAGUGAAAAUGAUAUGAGAUACAAAACUAGACUGGUGGCAAAGGGCUUUACCUAAAAAAAGGAGUAUAUUUCAAUGAAAUCUUCUCAUAUGUUGUAAAAUUCACUACUGUUAGGGUUAUUUUGGCUUUAGCCACACAGUUUAAUUAGGAGCUAGAUCAAUUAGAUGUAAAAAUAACUUUUUUAAAAUGGUAAUCUAGACGAAACCAUUUACAUGAAACAAUCUAAAGGAUUUGAGAUAAAUCGGAAAUCUGACUUAGUUUGCCUUCUUAAAAAAUCCCUUUAUGACUUAAAACAAGCUUUAAGGCAAUGGUAUGAAAAAUUUGACAAUUUUGUACUUGAACUUGGUUUUAAGAGAAGUAACUUCGAUACCUGCUUGUAUUGUAAAGGAAAUGGUGGAGAAAAUUCCCUUUAUCUAUUCCUUUUUGUGGAUGACAUGCUAUUGGCAAGUCAUGACAUAAAAGAGACAGAAGAUAUAAAAAAUAGACUAAAAUCAGAAUUUGAAAUGAAGGACUUAGGUCCCGUGAGAAGGAUUUUAGGUAUUGAAGUUAAAAGAAAUAGAAGAGAAGGCACACUAAGUCUUAACCAAAAGUCAUAUAUGCUGAAAUUGCUAAAUAAAUUCUCUAUGUUUGAUUUCAAAAGUGUGAGUUUGCCUUUCGCAAAUUAUUCUAAACUCUCAAAUGUAUAAUGUCCUAAAUCUAAAGAAGAAUUUGAAAGGAUGGCAAGAGUGCCAUAUUCUAAUGUAGUUGUGUCUGUUAUGUACCUCAUGGUUAGUUCUAGGCCAGAUUUAGCAUAAUCUAUAAGUAUCUUAAGUAGAUAUAUGUCAAAUCCAGGUGAAACUCAUUGCGAAGCCACGAAAUGGCUUCUUAGAUACAUUAAGGGUACAUAGAUUUAGGUAUUCAGUUCAGAAAACAAAUUAAAGGUGUUAUAUAGAGAGGUUAUACUAAUACGGACUAUGCGGGUGACAGGGACAAUAGGAAGUCCACUUUAGCCUAAAUGCAUACUUUGUGUAAUUCUUGCAUUAGCUGGAAAUCCCAGCUUCAAAAGAUAGCUACAUUAUCAUCUACCGAAGCUGAAUAUAUUGCUGCAAUAGAUGCUAUAAAAGAAGGAAUAUGGCCGAAAGAGUUAUUAAAUGAAUUUGGCUUUGUUAAAGAAAUAACUCUUUAUUCUGAUAGUUAGUCAGCCAUUCAUCUAAGUAGAAAUCCAAUCUUGCACAAUAAAUCUAAAUAUGUUGAUGUUAGAUUUCACUUUAUAAGGGAUAUAAUUUCACAAGGAGUUGUGAAACUUGAAAAGAUUUCUGCUAAUUUUAACCCCGCUGAUGCAAGUACAAAGGUCCUGCCCCUUAAACAAGUUUUUGGACUGCUUGAACUUGUUGAACAUCACCCCAUGCUUAUUUGAGUAUCUGAUGUGAGUGCUAAUGAUGUCUAAAAAUUGGGAGUAACCACACUGUGAGUGAAUGUGGAUCAUUGUUACAAGGUGGAGAUUGAAAGGUUGUGGCACAAUGACGCAAUUGUGUGAGUUGACUAGCUGACUUUUUCCUUGUUAUUUUUAAAGUGUUAGCUGGUUUGUUAAAAACGUGAUUUCAUCUUAAAGUCGUGUUUCUUCUAAUGGACACCCAUGAUGUUUCUUCUAAUGGGCACCCAUGAUGAUGCCAUGUGUCAACCCCAUGUCCAUUGGAUGGUUGACCAUCUGGUGACUCAUAUAAAAGGGAGUCCUAGGAUUGAGACGUGUGAUUUUUUUUUGGUUUUCCAGAGACUUCUCUCUACUCUGGCCGUUCGAGUUCUUCUUCUCCUUCUCUCUAAAAAUCAAAGAUCUCAUUUGAUUUUCAACACUUUCCCAAUUCAAUUUUUUGUAAUCUUGAGUGAUUCUUUCUGAGAAGUGGUGUGUGUUCUUGUGUGAACCUUUUUGUGAAGUGAGAAGAUCGAAUCUUCUGUGAUCUUGGGUGAUUUUGGUCUGAGUGUGAAAACAUCUUGAUUUCUAAGCCUUGGUUAAGAUCGAUUCUGGCAGUGGAUUGUUUCUGGAGACAGAAGCACUUAUUCUUGGGAAAUUCAUCGAUUGUUAUUGCCUUAGGUCAUUUUAAUGAGAUCUAUUUUUCUUGUCUUUUGAUAUUAUAUUACUACACAUUUUUAUUGUUGUAAUAUCUAAUAUUUUGGAACCUCCUCUUUACAGUUGCUCUUGUCUCAAUUAAAGGACAAAGAUAUCACUAAGGUGAUUGCAACAUGAAGAGAUAAUUGGGCUUCAAUUCCCGUCGAUGGUAGCACAGUUGCUAUAGCUACACCUGAUGCAGCAGAAGGUGCUCCUGCCCCAGCUACUACUGAAACAAAGAAGGAAGAGAAAGUUGAAGAGAAAGAAAAGUCGAAUGAUGUAAAAUACUGCACUUCAUUCUUUUUCGUGACAUCCUUUUCAUUUUCUUGGAUCAAUUUAUGUGCUAAAGAGAAAUUUAAUAUUGUGACUUUUGAUUCCAUGGUUAGAGGAUAUGGGAUUUGGUCUCUUCGACUAAAAACUGCGAAACAGGGCAAAGAAGUUACUGUCAAGUUAAUUUUAGAAAAUUUUCUCAUUGUUCUUGGUUUGGGUACUAGACUUGCUUAGGAAAGGAGAAUUUUGUUUUUUAAGUGAACGAAUUGCAGUUAUUAGGAAUUGUUUUUUAAGUGAACGAAUUGCAGAUAUUAGGAAAUGAAUUUUUUUUCCUGCUUGAGUUUGUUUAUUUCGAUUUGAUGAUUUUGUGUAUCGUAUAUGCAAAAGUGUAUACUUGUUAUUCUCCAAGAAAAUUGGAUUGUUUUUGUGUCUUUUCUUAUUGUUUUCUAAUUGGGAUAAAGUUAGUACUGUUGGAAGAGCUAAACAAUGUGAGGUGCAAAGAAAUGUAUCAAAAGAGCAAUUGCCAGUUCUUGGUAUUUCAAAGUGGUCGAUAUGGGGGGAAAUGUAUCACUUUUUUUAGUGUCCGUCACAUUUGUGUCACUUUUAGAUUUUUGUCACUUAUUUGAAUUUUUGCCACUUUUUUAGUGUUGGUCACAUUUGUGUCACUUUUUUUUGAAUUUUUGUCACUUUUUUUAAUGUUUGCUACAUUUUUUAGUCGCCUUCUUGAAAAUUUUAUCACUUUUCUUAGUGACAAACAUAACUUCUAAUAAAAAUAAGAUUGUAUGUCAUUUUUUAACAUGAAAGUGACACUAAACUUUUAAAGGUGACAUUGUGUCUCUCCUUUUUUUUUUUUUUUUUUUUUUUAAUUUGUCACUUUUUUAAAAUUUUUGUCAUUUUUUGAAUUUUUGUCACCUUUUUUUUUCAAUGAUUUCUAUCACUUUUUUAGUGACAAACAUCACUUUUUAAUAAAAAUAUAUCAUUUUUAAUAAGAAAGUGACACAUAACAACUGAUUUCUAUGCCCCCACGUUUUUUGAAUAUGUGCAACUCUUUUUAAUCAGUUUCUCUUUUUUAAAUUUGUCACACUUUUUUUCAAUCGUCUUUUUGAAAUAUCUAUCAGAUUUUUUAGUGACAAAUAUCAUUUUUUUUUAGUAACACUUUUUUAUUAAAAAAUUACAUACAAUGUUACUUUUUCUAAAAAAGGUGACACAGUGUCACCUUAAGGAAAAAAAAAAGUGACACAACUUUUAUAAAAAAGUGACAUUGUGUCACUUUUUAAUUUUACACAGUAUUUUUUACUUUCAAAAAACUUUUUAUAUGAUUUUUUAAAAUACAUUUAAUUUUAAAGGUAUUUUUGUAAGUUGACAUUUUUCUUUUAACUAGCAGGCCUUUGGUUUAUGGCCCCUUUUUUGGAUUUUAAAACAAUUGGCAAAGGCUUGCUGGCUGUUGCUGAGGUGGUCUGAAUAAUUUUUUUUUUUUUUUUUUUUUUUUUUUUUUUUUUUUUUUUUUUUUUUUUUUUUUUUUUUUUUUUAAGGUGUCUUUUUUUUUCUUUUUUUUUUUUUUUUUUUUUUUUUUAAAUUAGUCACUUUUUAAAAAUUUCUGUCACUUUUUGGAAUGUCACUUUUUUAAAGUUGUCAUUUUUUUUUGAAUUUUUGUCACUUUUUUUUUCAAUCGUCUUCUUGGAAUUUUUAUAACUUUUUUUUUAGCAACAAAGUAACAAACGUCACUUUUUAAUAAAAGUGAGAUUGUAUGUCAUUUUUUAAUAUAAAUGUGAUAUCGUGUCACUUUUUUUUGACAUUUUUAUAAAUAAAAAAAAAGUGACAUUAUAUCACUUUUUAAUUUCAGACAAUAUUUUUUACUUUCAAAAUUUUUUCAUAUGAUUUUUCAAAACACCCAUAAUUUUAAGCGUAAUUUUGUAAGUUGUCCUUAAAUUAUUAUAUCUCACAGAUAGGGUUGAGCAAAACUCACGAACCGAAUCGAUCGAAUCGAACCCGACGGUUCUUCUCAAGUUAAAUAUCCUAAUGGGUGUCUGAAUCGAGAGCUGACGAGUAUGGUACGAUUCUCAAUUUUAGACCAAGAACCGAAGAACCAAAUCUUUCUAUUUUUUUAUAUUGAAUAAAUCAAAUUAUUUUAAUAUUUCAAACAAAUUAAUUAAUUAAUUAACUAAUUAGGUGAUUGAUUAAUUGAGUCAGUAUUUAGUAUUGGAGGGCGCAUUCUUAAUCCAUUUAGGAGUUCUUUAAUUCCUAAAACAGUUGAGGCCUUGAUUUGUACACAAAACUGGCUAAUAGAAGAAUCUAGACUUUUGAGAGUUUCCCAAGAUAGAGUUUACAAUGAAGAAACAGAGUUCUAUGAGAGUAUUGAGACAGGUAAUAUAAUAUAUGUUUUAUUUUUCUUAUUAAAUCUUAUUAGUUGAACAAUUUUUAGUUUAUUUAUGUUUGAUAAUUGUGUUUUUUUAAUUUUUUUCUAUAGAGUUUCUUCGUAUGGCAAGUCAAGCAAUUGAUGAUUAAAUCAGUAAGUAUUAAUAAUACUUAAAAAUAUUUUAUCUCGAUGACUUCUAACUCAAGAUUUUUUUUAUUUUUAUUUAUUAUGUAGACUUGAAGGCUGAAGCAAAUAAUUAUUGAUGUUGAUCGCCAAUAUUUUAGUAUUAGUAUCUACUUUUUAGUAUUUGUAUAUAUUGGUUAAUUAAUCUUAUUGGAUAAGUUGUUAUUUAUAUAUAUUUUUGAAUUGGACUUCGUUAAUUUGUAAAAGUUAUGAUUAAAUAUGUUAUUAGUUGUAUUUAUGUAGUGUUGUUGUAAAUGUUAAAAAAUGUAAUUACGGUAUGGAACCGAACGAACCAAACGGAACCAAACGGUUCCAUAAUUAUAUUUGGACCCGACGAUUCCACUUACUAAAUACUCAAAAUUUUCAGUUCGAUUUGAUUCUCUUUAGAACUGUAUCGAACCGGACCAUGCCUAACUCUACCCAUAGCCCAAACCCAACACCACGUGGUUCCAACUUUAAUUAGCCAAGCCCUAACUCCACAAUAACCUACAACCAUAUAUCACACCCAAGCCAAAAUACCUACAUAUUCAUCAGGCCCAAUUACCCAGCCUCAUUAUUACUUAACCCAACUCAACCUAGCCCAUUACCCGGCCUAAAAUCACAACCAGCAUCACAUCCAAGGCCUAAUCUCUCAACAACUCGGCCCAUACCCAACUUUACUCUGCAUCCAGAUUUUGGUCCUCGACGUCUGGCGAACUAGCCAACAGCUAUUCCCGUUGACGCCCCUCCCCCAUGUCGACGACACCACUCUCCAGCAUCGCCGACGCCACAGGCAUCACCACCCAACCUUCCGUUGUGCGCUCAAGAUUCUCCACGGCCAUUGCCUCCGUUAAUUUCUCCACCAUUAUGCCGCUCACUAUCUUCGACUCCUCCCUCUUGACUUGCCCGUCGUGCUCUCUUCCUCUCCUAGUUCAAGAGCUCUCCGUCCCAGGCCUCUACUCGCUACAUUUUCUUCACUCCAUCAUAGCCUGUCGCUUCCCUCGUUGAAAGUCCCUGCCAAUCUCAAGUCUUUUGCCACCAUAUCAAGUACAGCCAGCACACUUCCCUCCACCUACCGUUACUUCUUUACCAUCACCGCCUUUCAUUUAUCCCUACUCAAGAUCGAAGUCACACCGUUGAUCUUGCCUUCACAUACACACAAACACCACUACCGCACCUUAACCACACAAUUGGCUCACCUAAUUCCAAUCGCCCAGCACUUAUUUCCACAUAGGAACCAACCACCGUUGUUUUAUCAUUUAAAUUCGGACUCACUUCGAACCAGCUAGCAGUUGUCAGGCUCUACCAUCAAUUCUCUAAGACUUUUAUCUGGUUUUUCUGUCUGGUAUCAACAUACUAAUGCAUAUGGAGCUUUGCUUUUCACUGCCUUGAGUAAUAUCUACUCAUACCUUGGGGCUUUUCUUAUCUAUCAUUGGUUUAGAAUACUGUUUCAUUUUAAAAUUGCAUGGAUUGAAUUUUUGUGCUGUUGUUAUUCUAAUAAUAUACCUAAAGUCACAUGACUGAAUCCUUUGAUUUCGUCAAAGCCCAUUUUACCCCACUUAUUUUAUGUGAUUAGGUUUUGAGUAGUAUUUAAUCCGUGCAUUGUUAUUUUACAUAGAUCAGUAGUAUUAGCUUGCUAUAUUUGAACUUACUUAAUCCUGAAAUUUAUUAAAAAAAAGUGAGAUUUUAUUAAAAAAAUGCCCAAGGUGUUUAUUUCCAAUUCUUGCACUUAUUGCUCAUUCAUUUCACCAUUGCACGUCAUUUAGUUGUUAUUACAUAGCAUGCAACUGCGUAGUAGUCGUCUUGUCGUCUCUAUUUCCAGUACAUUGACCAUGGACUCAUCCUAAUUUGAUGCAUUCACUAGACAAUUAGCUCAACUUGCCACUAGUCAACAACACUUAAGUCAAUUAGUAGCUGUCCAAACCGAGAUGGCUCCUACUCAUGAAAAGAGCUAAGAUAUAGUUGCUAGUCUGAACAAUUUUAAGCAAAUCCCUCAUUCAACUGAUGUUAAUAAUACUGAAAUUCCCAUAAUAGACAAUUUCGUUGUCGACAAGGUAAUCAAAAAUAUUUUCAACAUGAUUGUAAGGAUAUGAAUCAGGUUCGUGAGUGAGAACGAGGCCAUGAUCGUCAUGGUACUCAUUCUCUUCUUCAUCAUAAUGAGCGUUCCUUUAGAGACAUUAAAUUAGAUACUCCUACGUUUGAUGGUUGUUAAGAUCAUGAAUUUUUUACCCAAUGGAAUACCCUUACAUAAGGGAAUCGGCUUGUAACUGAGUACAUUGCUCAAUUUGAGGAAUUUCAAAUGAAAUGUCAUGUCGUUGAGGUGAUGCCUUAAUUUGAGUAGGUCUAGACAAGGCCUCAGUGAAAAUCUAAAGCGCAAGCUCUUCCUUUGGGAUAUCACUACUCUUGAUCAUGUUUACUCGUUAGCUCGGGAUUACGAGUUACUUAUUAGUACUCCAUGUGAAAAGCAUGGUCAGCAUCAUUCACCCAUUUCAUUAGCGCCACCUCGUCAUAAGUCUAUUAUAGAGCCUUCCCCAUUUAAUGUUUCUCCCAUUUGGAAAAAUAAGUGUAAAUGUCAUUAUAUCCCAAGACCUUCUUCGUAUCGAAGGUAUAGUGACAUUCACCCUUUUGCCUCAUCAACGCUACCUCCUCGUGUUAUGUCCAUUCUAGGAUGCACAUCUAAUGCUCAUCCUCCGUUGGAAAAUAAAGGUCAAGAUUUUGAAAUUCUAAUGACUCAUUCUCAUUUGCAGUGCUUCAACUAUAAGGACUUUUGGUCACAUUUCUCCUAAAUGUCCUAGUUGAACGCUAAUCAUUGAGGAACGAAAUGAUGUAAUGGAUGAUCGGUUAGAAGAUCAAGUCUAUAAACCUAAACUUGAAGAAUUUGAUGACUUGAAUGAUAUUGAAGACACAUAUGUAGUAUCCAAACUUUUCUUAUGAAUCUAGAGGUUGUACCCCUUACUCUCGAUACUUCUCAAUCAAAUGUUGUAUGUCGUGCCCUUUAUCCAACCCAGUGAUCCUGAUUUGCGUAAUCAUGCCAUUUUCAAGGAAAACAUUGGGAAUUGGAAUUUGAUCCUCCCAACAAUUCAAAUUGCAUAUAACAAUUUUGUGAAUCGAUUUAUAGAUAUGAGUUCCAUCUAAGUUAUUCAUAAUUAUAAGUCUAGGAAGCAUUUAGAUCUUAUUCCAAUGUCCCCACAUGCAAGUUUGUCUAUGUUAGUCAAGGUAUUUGUACAUCAUCUUCAUGACUUGCAUAUUGAGAUCAAUAAACAACUUAAAUCAAGUAAUGCAUCAUAUAAACUUUGAGCUGAUUUGCAAUAGCUAUAUGUUGCAUUUAAUAUUGGGGAUUAUGUUAUAUUACAAGCCUAUAGUGCUGGUCUUAUUGAAGUUUUAAAGCAUGCUGGUUCAAAUACAUGUGUAAUUGAUCUUUUAUUACAUUUUGGCCACCAUUCUAUUUUAACUGUUAAAGACUUCCUUGCUUAUAAAAGCUAUUUUAAUCCCUCUGAUGAUCAUUUUCUAUCUCCACAUGAGAAUUCCUACACUGAAUCUUUUGCUAUGUUAACUCCAAUACCACUUGUCACAACACACAAAGAUAAGAUUGAUGUUAUUUUAGAUGAUGAGGUUGUGUUGACCAAUGAUAAAGAGAUUCAGUACUUUCUUGUUCGUUAGGUGGAUCGACUUGAUUCUGAUGGUACAUGGAUCCCCAGAAAGAGAUUUCAACAACGGGAUCCAGAUUUAUCGGAACUUUAUAAGAGUCAGCAAGAUCUUCCUUUGCCUAGUUCAUCUUGUUCAAAUCAUAUGCUUGGGGAUAAUUUGCAAAUGGUGUUGUCAUCAUUUGUUGAGUUUCGAUAUUUGGUUCGUCAGAAAGAUCAUCCCCCGUGGAAUUCAACCACUCAACAGAGUCGAGUUUUUCUUCCACCCCAUGAGAGUUAAUGAGGACAUCAUCCAUUUUAUUUAUUUUUCUAGUUGGACUUUAUAUAUGUUUUUGAUUGUUAUUAUAUAAUUGGGAUUGUAUAAAGGGUUUCGUCCAUGCCUAUUCUCGUUAGGGUUUUGUUUUUCUAUAAAAUUGGAAUAGUUGAUGAUUAUGAUGAAUUGAGAUUGGUUUUGGCAUCUCCUACCUCUCCCUUCUCAUUUUUUCCUGAAUUUCUACUUCUUCUCCAAUUUCUCUCCCCAUUCUCUCCGGUUUCUUCCCCAUUUCUUGCUGCCUUCUUUUUUAUCCUACAUCAAGAUUUGUUUUAUGUGACACGUUCUAACAGUCUAGCAUGCAUGCAGCGAAGUACGAGAAUUUGAAUUUGAAUUCCGAACUACUGAUGUUCAAGAAGUAGAUAUUGCAGAUGUAGGAAGCAUAAUCUUUGGUGAAACUGUUCUUCUUUUGAGAUUAGGGAAAUUAUUGUCUCUUGGAUCCAUCCAAACUUUUACCCAGAAGGGGGCAGCGAAAAUUUAUUUGUGCGGUAAAAUUAGUUCAUUGCUGAAAGAUGAAAAUGACUGGGGACUGUAAGUGUUAUGUCCUAGAUCCAAUCGAUUUAGGUUGUAAACGCUUUUAAUAUACUUAAUGCAUUUGAUUUUGGCGAGAUCUAUUAUUUAUUUAAAUUAAUUUUGUGAUAAAUAAUAUUAAAUAAUAGAAUCCGAAGAUCCAAUUUUUGGGUAAUCUGUUAAUCACAAGGAGUUGUGAUUGUGAGUUACAAAUUACAUAUAAUUGGAUCUUGAAUAAACCAUGGUCGUAAGUAAUAACGAGAUACGGAUAUCGUUAAUACAGUUAGACCAUCACGUGUGACAUUUCUUACUUGUGAAGUAAGUAGCUGAUCUCACAAGCUAAAGUGUGGUGACACUUAAAUGAACACGUGGAUGUUUUGUUAUAGAACAAAGCAUUAGAGACCCGCUAAGAGAUUCCAGAUGGAUAACUAUCUGAGUGUCAGUGGAUAAUCUUUAACGUUCGGUAGUGGAAUUGGUCCUUUGACUUGAGGUCGUCAUGGUACCUUAUAUGAGGACAGUCAUACUUUGGCGGUGUUGGAUGUUGUUCUGAAAGGGGCCGCUAAUACGAUAUCGUUAGGGUACGUCAAGAAUCGUAUGAAGGUUGUGAUUAAUCAAUAAAGGAUUCGUCACUCUUAGAUAGUAGGAGAUUAUGAUCUGCGUUUCAUUCAAUUAAGUCGAUGAUGAAAUCCUUGGCCAAGCUAUACUCAUAAGUCGAAAAGGAGUUUUCGAUUUAUAUUGACUUAAUAGUGGAGUGAAAGAUAUGAUCAAUGAUCGAAAUUGACCCAAUUCUAUAUCUCGUAAUUGAUCGGAUCGUAUUGACUAAGGGAUAAUAGUUUCACGGUAAACGAACGAAUUUGAUUUUGUCAUACCACGUGACAUUUCCCGUCACAUGUAUUGCCCUGACACAUUGUUAGAUGUCAAUCAGGGACGGCGAGUGUGAAUUGACGAUAAAUUAAAAGGGUGUAUUAAUUUAUCAGUUUUGAUUAGAUUAAAAUAAUAUUUCACGACGUUAGGCAUCGUGGUCGGGAACCUAAUGUGUCGCACACAAAAAAGAAUUGGAAGAUUGCAAAUUGUCAAUUGAUUAAUUUAACAAUCGUUGGAUAAAUUAAUUAAUUGAAUUUGUUAUUUAUAUUCCCGAAUUAAUUAAUUGGAUUAAUUAAUUCACGGACCGGGUUUAAUUAAUUGGAUUAAUUAAAUAUUGGACCGGACCUGGCCGGGUCCGUUUGGGUUUAUAUAUAUACAUAGCUAGGGUUUGGGAUCCAAAAGUGUUUUCAUUAUUCUUGUUGGCACAAGAGAGAAACCCUAGCAGUUGCAGUCUAUUCUCUGUGUGGAUUUCAUUGGAGGCUGGACAAUUGGACAGUUGUGGGAGGCAGAUUCAAGCUGUUGGAAAGGAAUAACGCGAAGGAGUUUGCAAAUUAUAAGAAAAGGUAUAUUUCUUAUCACAGUUUUUAUCUAAAUACAAAGCUGAAUCCUGAAUGGGAAUUGAAAUUUGUUAAAUUUCGCUGUGCAUGUUUAAGUAAAUUCCAAAUAGGGACAAAUGUUAAAUCUCACUGUGCAAGAUGAAUUUUCAGAGGACAUUGUACAAGACCGGCCAUUGCAAAAGCUUUUGAAGGAGAAGUUAUAUUACUGGCUUCUCCAAAAGGUUUGCUGAAGGUGGGAGAGGCCCUAAUAUAUUAAAUAAGGGUAGUCAAGGUGUUCUGCAUUUUGCAGUGACUCGUAUGACUGGACUAUACAACCCAUAAUAGUUGUAGGUGUUGGCGUCGAUUUUCAGGAUACAAAUGGAUGGACUGCACUUCAUUCGGCAGCAUAUUAUGGCAGGCAUUAAUUUAAUGAUGUUUUACGUCUUGCUCCCAUAACUCAUUUCUUCUCUUUUGACACGUGCUUAUUUUACAUCAAUAUAUUGUGUUCUUUUUGUGUGUGCUUGCAAUAAGGAGAUGCCUGUUGGGAAUCUACUUAUACAUGUACAGCGGAAUUUAAAAUAAUUUUCGAUUCCCACCAAGAAUCGCCUUUGUGUUUAGAUAGAAAUUGUGAUAAGAUUGUACCUUUUCCAGAUCUGCAAACUUCUUUGCUUUUCUUUCAGUUCCAUCAACCUUGAUUUGCCACCACAGCUGUCCAAUUGUCCAGCCUCUAACGGUGAUCCACACAGAGAAUAAGAUUGCAGCUUCUAGGGUGUUCUCUUGUGCCAGCAAGAAUAAUGAAAAUCAUAUGGAUCUCAAACUCUAGUCAUGUAUUUAUAUAAACUCAAACGGGUUCGGUCCGGUCCAAUAUUUAAUUAAUCCAAUUAAUUAAACUCGGUCCGUGAAUUAAUUAAUCCAAUUAAUUAAUUCGGGAAUAUAAAUAACAAAUCCAAUUAAUUAAUUUAUCCAACGAUUGUUAAAUUAACCAAUUGGCAAUUUGCAAUCUUCCAAUUCUUUUUUGUGUGCGACCCAUUAGGUUCCCGACCACGAUGCCUAACGACAUAAAAUAUUAUUUUGAUCUAAUCAAAAUUGAUAAAUUAAAACACCCUUUUAAUUUAUCGUCAAUUCACACUCGCCGUCCCUGAUUGACAUCUAGCAAUGUGUCAGGGCAAUACAUGUGACGGGAAAUGUCACGUGGUAUGACAAAAUCAAAUUCGUUCGUUUAUCGUGAAACUAUAAUCCCUUCGUCAAUAUGAUCCGAUCAAUUACGAGAUAUGGAAUUGUGUCAAUCUCGAUCAUCGAUCAUAUCUUUCACUCCACAAUUAAGUCAAUAUAAAUCGAAAACUCCUUUUCGACUUAUUAGUAUACCUUGGCCAAGGAUUUCAUCAUUGACUUAAUUGAAUGAAACGCAGAUUAUAAUCUCCUACUAUCUAAGAGUGACAAAUUCUUUAUUGAUCAAUCACAACCUUCAUACGAUUCUUGACGUACCCGAACGAUGUCGUAUUAGCGGCCCUUUUCAGAGCAACAUCCAACACCGCCAAAGUGUGAUUGUCCUCAUAUAAGGUACCAUGACGACCUCAAGUCAAAGGACCAAUUCCACUACCGAANNNNNNNNNNNNNNNNNNNNNNNNNNNNNNNNNNNNNNNNNNNNNNNNNNNNNNNNNNNNNNNNNNNNNNNNNNNNNNNNNNNNNNNNNNNNNNNNNNNNNNNNNNNNNNNNNNNNNNNNNNNNNNNNNNNNNNNNNNNNNNNNNNNNNNNNNNNNNNNNNNNNNNNNNNNNNNNNNNNNNNNNNNNNNNNNNNNNNNNNNNNNNNNNNNNNNNNNNNNNNNNNNNNNNNNNNNNNNNNNNNNNNNNNNNNNNNNNNNNNNNNNNNNNNNNNGAUGUAAUUUGUAUCUCACAAUCACAACUCCUUGUGGUUAACAAAUUACAAAUAUUUGAAUCUACGGACUCUAUUAUUUAUUUAAUUGUCUAUUAAUUAAAUAAUAGAUCUGCCAUUUAAUUUUAUUAAUUAUAUAUAAAAGUAUUUAUGUCCAAAGUUGAUUGGACCUUGGGUAUAAUACUUACAAACUCCCACUUGCACUAGAUCCAAUCACUUAUGUAUCAAAUAUCAUAAGUCUACAUGACGAUCAUGUUUAUACUACGACAACUCUUUGUCAGUGGAUCUGCAAUAUUAUUAAAUGUGAAAAUUUGUUCUUCUCUUUGCGUCAUUUCUAUGUAUUAUCUCUCUAAUAAGAUUAUACCGCCUUAAUACAUGUUUGGAUCAUUGAUGAGACCUUAGUUCCUUUGCUUUCACAAUGGCUCCAUUGUUAUCACAAUACUAUUGUAUGUGAUCAACAAUAUCAGGAACUACUCCAAGUUCAUUUAUGAACAUCAUGAUCCAUAUUGCAACUCUUUGCUACUUCUGAAGUAUCCAUGUAUUAGGUUUUUACUAUUGAAUCAACGGUUGCUUCACGUUUGGAACCUUUCCAACAUACCGCUUAAGAGUAAACCAGUUUUUCCAUAUGAAAUCUUCUCAAGAUUUCAUCUAUGUAAAUUGAGAUGAGUUAAGCAAUCUUCUAGAUCUACCUCUAUAAAUCAAGUUGCUUAUCCCAUUUCGUUUAUGAAUAAAUCCUUUAACAACCAUUAUUUCAACGAUUGAAACAUAGAGAUAUCAUUUUCUAUAUUAUUAGGAACACGACAAUGCUCCCACUAUCUUCUUGUAAAUACACAAUUCGUCUUCAAAUUUGAUAAAAUCAAACGCUUUGACUUUUUCAUCAAAUCGAAGAUUUCAGCUCCAUAGAGACUUAUCUUAACCUUUAGUUACGAUAUACAACUGUUGCAAAUAAAAUCCGAAUGGACUUCAGCAAGGUCACAGGAGAAAAGUUUUACCAAGGUCAACACUUAACCUUUGCUUCUAGCCUUGCUUUGUAUAUAUGGAUAUCCACUUCCAUAUCGACAUUUUCCUUGUAAACUAUUUACAAAACCUUAUGGGUUUUAUUCCAUCAGGAGGCUUAACCAAGGUCCAAACCUUGUUCACAUACGCCAAGUUCAUCUCGAGUAUCGUAGCCUCAUGCUGUCUCUUUUAAGUCAACACUUGACUUUAUUUUGUUGCAACUAGAAGGUUCAUUAUCCUUGAUCACUAAUACCUGAUUAAUGAUCAUGAAUUUGCACCUUCUUGAAGGUCGAGUGAUCCUACUAGAUUCACAUAGAGCUGUCAUGUCCUCAGGAGUCUUUACUUCCUGAUCCAAAGUAUGUCACAUAUCAGAUAUGGGAUCAAACUCGAAUUUAUCUACUUGGUUAACUAUAUUUGUGAACUCUUGAACUCUUUCAAAAUUCUAUUAUACUCCCACUGUCCUCUCCUAGAGUAAACAUUUUCUCUAAGAAGACGAUGUGCCGUGAGACGAAGACUUUCUUCAUGAUAAUAGAAUUUAUAUUCAAAUGUCUCAUUUGAAUAUCACACAGAUAUGUAUUUAUCGGAUUCGGUCUCAAACUUAUCUGAUUUAAGGCGCUUCAAAUAAGCGUCAUGAUCCCAAUCUUUCAUAUAAGAUAAAUUGGGACUAUUGUCUUUCCAUAACUCGUAUGAAGUUCUGUUAACCAAUUUAGAUGGGACAUGGUUUAGUGUGUUGCACACUGCAAUCAAUGCGUGACCUCAAAAUCAUUUUGAGAAAUUUGCAUGGCUUGUUAUUAAUCGCAUUAUAUGUAAUAAUUAACGAUUCCUCCUUUUAGAUACACAAACCUUGCUGCAGUGUAUAUGAAGGAGUCCACUGUACGAGAAUCUCAUUCUCUCUUAGAUAAUCUAAAUUUUAUCUUUAAGAUACUCUCACUUGAUCGAAUCUUAAUGUGAAGGUAUCUUUACCUCUUUGUUUCUCUAAUUCUAGUGUGAAUCCCUUGAACUUUUCAAGAGUUUCAUGUUUGAAUUUUCAUCAAGUAUACUUGAUCAUUGAUGAAAUAAAAGAAACAUUACCUGACAUUGAUUGACAUGAAUCCAUAUGCAUCACUAUACAUUAGACCAGUAAUUAUGCUGACCUUUCUUCUUUUUCAAGCAAAAGAAGAUUUGGUCAUUGUGCCAGACAUGCAUAAUUUGUACUUGUCAAAAUGAAUUAAUUCCAAGUAUACAUCUUUAUGUAACUUUGGAAUUAUAUUACAAGCCUAUAGUGCUGGUCUUAUUAAAGUUUUAAAGCAUGCUGGUUCAAAUACAUGUGUCAUUGAUCUUUUAUUACAUUUUGGCCACCAUGCUAUUUUAACUGUUAAAGAUUUCGUUGCUUAUAAAAGCUAUUUUAAUCCCUCUGAUGAUCAUUUUCUAUCUCCACACGAUAAUUCCUACACUGAAUCUUUUGCUAUGUCAACUCCAAUACCACUUAUCACAACACACAAAGAUAAGAUUGAUGUUAUUUUAGAUGAUGAGGUUGUGUUGACCAAUGAUAAAGAGAUUCAAUACUUUCUUGUUCGUUAGGUGGAUCGACUUGAUUCUGAUAGUACAUGGAUCCCCAAAAAGAGAUUUCAACAAUGUGAUCCAGAUUUAUUGGAACUUUAUAAGAGUCAGCAAGAUCUUCCUUUACCUAGUUCAUCUUGGUCAAAUCAUAUGCUUGGGGAUAAUUUGCAAAUGGUGUUGUCAUCAUUUGUUGAGUUUCGAUAUUUGGUUCGUCAGAAAGAUCAUCCCCCGUGGUAUUCAACCACUCAAAAGAGUCGAGUUUUUCUUCCACCCCAUGAGAGUUAAUGAGGACAUCAUCCAUUUUAUUUAUUUUUCUAGUUGGACUUUAUAUAUGUUUUUGACUGUUAUUAUAUAAUUGGGAUUGUAUAAAGGGUUUCGUCCAUGCCCAUUCUCGUUAGGGUUUUGUUUUUCUAUUUAAAUCUAGUUUGUCAUAAAAUUGGAAUAGUUGAUGAUUAUGAUGAAUUGAGAUUGGUUUUGGCAUCUCCUACCUCUCCCUUCUCAUUUUUUCCUGAAUUUCUGCUUCUUCUCCAAUUUCUCUCCCCAUUCUCUCCAGUUUCUUCCCCAUUUCUUGCUGCCCUCUUUUUUAUCCUACAUCAAGAUCUGUUUUAUGUGACACGUUCUAACAGACUAGCAUGCAGCGAAGUACGAGAAUUUGAAUCUGAAUUCCGAACUACUGACGUUCAAGUAGUAGAUAUUGCAGAUGUAGGAAGCGUAAUCUUUGGUGAAACUGUUCUUCUUAUGAGAUUAGGGAAAUUAUUGUCUCUUGGAUCCAUCCAAACUUUUACCCAGAAGGGGGCAGCGAAAAUUUAUUUGUGCGGUAAAAUUAGUUCAUUGCUGAAAGAUGAAAAUGAGUGGGGACAAAUGUUAAAUCUCACUGUGCAGGAUGGAUUUUCAGAGGACAGUGUACAAGACCGGUCAUUGCAAAAGCUUUUAAAGGAGAAGUUAUAUUACUGGCUUCUCCAGAAGGUUUGCUGAAGGUGGGAGAGGCCCUAAUAUAUUAAAUAAGGGUAGUCAAGGUGUUCUGCAUUUUGCAAUGACUCGUAUGACUGGACUACACAACCCACAAUAGUUGUAGGUGUUGGCGUCGAUUUUCAGGAUACAAAUGGAUGGACUGCACUUCAUUCGGCAGCAUAUUAUGGCAGGCAUUAAUUUAAUGAUGUUUUACGUCUUGCUCCCAGAACUCAUUUCUUCUCUUUUGACACGUGCUUAUUUUACAUCAAUAAGUUGUGUUCUUUUUGUGUGUGCUUGCAAUAAGGAGAUGCCAUACUGUAUAAAUGUUUCAGAGGCUAUAGUGUUCAUGUUUAGCAAGUAUAAAAUAGGGGUCCUGGUUUUUCUGUCUUCUUAUUGGAAUCCUUGAUAUUUUAAGUCCACUUAUAUUUGUUAACGAAUCUUAUCCGAGUCUUUUGCUCACAACUACUGCAAUUUUAGAGAGCACAUAGUGGCUUUCCUCAUCUCUAUAUGUGUAGCUCCUGGAGCAUUGACGGAUACCACCCCGAAUGUCUUUCUGGAAGAACUCCAGCAAACUUAGUCCUGCAAUGGACAGAAAGGAAUUGCUGGUAAUCUUGUAGAGUCUACCCUGAGUGACCACAUUGUUUCACUUGACCUCAAGAAUUCGAAGGAUGGUAGUAGUGAAGAAAAAGUUGUAGGAAUGGUAUCUGAGCUCACUGCAACUUUAGUUGGUUAUGGUGACUUGCCCCAUAGACUUCAUUGAAAGAUCCAUUGGCUGCUUUUUGCAAUGCAACUCAAGUUGUAGCUCGCAUUCAUCAAGUCUUCAGAGUACAGUCAUUUCAAAGAAAGAAGACACAAGACAAGAGUCUAGGGAUGGUGAAUUUGGAAUGUCAGAUGAACAUGAUGAACUAAUGCAUGCUGCUGCGCUAUCAAUGCAAAAUAAAUUCCGCAGUUGGAAAGGCAGAAUGGAGUAUUUGUUGAUUCAAAAAUGAAAUAUUAAAAUUCAGGUUUGGGGCUCUAUCUCAUAUGUUAUAAAGAAGAAUUUGCUUCCAUGCUUCUUAUAUGUUUCAGUUGUUUAUUGUAGAUGAAAUUUUCAAUUCCCAAUUCUAAAUUUUGGCAUUUCUUAUAAAAGGCCCAUGUGAGAGGACGCCAGGUGAGGAAGACCUACAAAAAGAUAAUUCGGUCAGUAAGAAUACUGGAUAAGGUCAUUUUGCACUGGCGAAGGAAAGGAAGAGGAUUGAGUUCAUUCAAACCUGUAGCACUUACUGCAGGUACUAGCAUGCAAGUAACACAACCUAAGAAGGAUGACUAUGAUUUCUUAAAAGAAGGUAGAAAUCAAAUGGAGGAAACAGUGCAAAAGACACUGAUUCAGUACCCAGAGGCUCCAGAUCGGUACCGCAGAUUGCUCAAUGUUGUUUCAGAAUUGAAGUUAGGCCUAUUUUAUAACUUAUCAGUGUUGAACGACCAUCUUAACUUUUUGAAAAUGAUAACUCUUGCGACAGCGUAGAUUUGUGUCCAUAUGGUGAUGAAAAUUUAAACAUAGGUUUUUUCAUUACACUGUGAUACUUUUUAAGACCACACAUAGUGGGGAAAAUGAUAUUUGGACUGUACAUAGCGGUGUACUUGAUGCAAAAAAAUAGAUACAGUUUGGGCUAUGGCUUUAGCUGAUGAAAUGGUGCACUUGAGUGACACACCACACUUUACAUUCCAGACAUAUUUCUUCCGACUCCGCAGGCCUUGCUCUUAGAAAGUUGAUGCUACUCGUUCAUUUAAGAAUUACUACUAACUACGUAGGUAUACUAUUAUUGUUACAGUAAACCGAUUAUCCCAAAUUAUACCUUAAACAUACCACUCCUUAAGUUGACUCCUCCAGAUUUCCACAACUGCUGUGGAAAAAUGGGGAAAAAAAAUAUUCAUAGGGUAGUUUUGUUACCCCUUGUCAAGGGUGAAAAGUCAAUAUCCCACAGCCCAAGACUUCUCUGGAGGGCUUCAGGUGAACCACUUAUUUCAGUGCCGGGUAAUUGAUGCCUUGCACUCUUAAGUACGACCCACGAGCAUGCAAUGAAGAGGGUGCCGACAAGAGGGUUUCUUGUCACUGGUUGGCAACAAUUAUCUUAUGAUCUCCAAAUAACUGUGAUAUUUAUCUUCAUGCUUCGAGAAUAUACACUGUUAUGGUUUUAGCUAUAAGUAUUUUGUCCAUGAACAUAUUUGAACUGUGUGUAAAUUUUAUUUGAUCUUCUUGAUUUUCCCUGUAGGCCAAUUGUGGUGGGGUCUUGAACAAUCCAGAUGUCGAUUUUGAUGAUCUAAUCGACCUUGAAGCUUUGUUGGAGGAUGACACUUCAUGCCUACUGCAACUUAAAUUUCCCUAUCAUUAGAAGAUUUAUAGCUAAAUUUACUAGUUUCUUUCUAUAGACCAAUCAUAUCACAUAGGAUCGGGGAUUAGUUCCAUUGUAUACCUAAACUUGCCCCUGUUUGACUUAGAUUUUAAUUUAAAUCAAAAUCAAACAAUUAAUAUUAAUCAUAUAGUUCAUGGAUCUCACAAUUUUUCAAACACACAUUUCAAAAAUUCCUAUGAAAAUAUACUAAAAAUCUAAUUUUAAUCUCCAUCAAACACACUCUUUACUAGUUUCCUUCACAUGAGCAUGUCUCGUUUCUGUAAGUAUUAUGUCCUGGUCCAAUCAAAUUUGGACAAAAACACUUUUAAUAUAUAAUCAAUGCAAUUUUAUGACAGAUCUAUUAUUUAAUUAAUAUUCAAUUAAAUUAAAUAAUAGAGUCCGUAGAUUUAAAUUUUAGUAAUUUGUUAAUCACAAAGAGUUUUAUCAUAUACAAAUUGCAAAUGAUUGAAUCUAAAAUAAUUCGUAGUCGUAAGUAAUAAUGAGAUACGGAUAUCGUUAUUAUGGAUAGACUAUCACGUGUGACAUUUUUUAUUUGUGAAGUAAGUAACUGAUCACACAAGUUAAAGUGUGAUGACACUUAAAUGACCGUAUAAAUGUUUUGUUAUAGAACAAAACAUUGGAGAUACCCUGAAAAUUUCACAUGGAGAACUAUCUGAAUGUCAGUGGUUAAUCUCUAACGUUCGGUAGUAAAAUUGGUCCUUUGAUUUGAGGUCAUCAUAGUGUCUUAUAUGAGGUCAGUCAUACUUUGGUGAUGUUGGAUGUAGCUCUGUCAAGGGCCACUAAUACGGCAUCUUCGGAUAUGUCAAAAAUCAUAUGAAGGUUGUGAAUGGCCAAUAAAGAAUUCGUCAAUUUUAGAUAGUAAGAGAUUAUGAUCUAUAUUUCAUUCAGUUAAGCUGAUAAUGAAAUCAUUGGUCAAUGUGUACUCAUAAGUUGAAAAAGGAGUUUUCUAUUUGUAUUGAUUUAAUAACGGAAUGAAAGAUAUGAUCGAUAAUCGAAAUUAACACACUUUCAUAUCUCGUAAUUGAUCAGAUCAUAUUGACGAAGGGAUUAUAGUUUCACGGUGAACGAACAAAUUUAGUUUUGUCAUACUACAUGACAUUUUUCGCUACAUGUAUUGUCCCGAUACAUUAUUAGAUGUCAAUUUGGGAUGACGAAUGUGAAUUGGUGAUAAAUUAAAAAGAAAUAUUUUAAUUUAUCGAUUUUGAUUAGAUCAAAAUAAUAAUUCACAUUAUUAGGUAUCGUGAUUGGGAACCUAAUGUGUCACACAUAAAAGGAGAACUAGAAUAAUGAGAUUUAUCAAUGAAUUAAUUAACAAGUAUUGGAUAAUUAAUUAAUUGGAUUAAUUAAUUCAUGGACAAAAUUCAAUUAAUUGGAUUUAAUAAAUAUUAGACCAAGUUGAGUUUAAGGAACAGACUAAUUCUGUUUGAGCUUAUAUAAAUAAGUUAUUAGGGUUUGAAAAUUUAGAGAAAAAUUUCAUGUUCUUACUAUCACAAGAAAAGAAAAAACUCUGGUUCUACCAAUUUUGUUCACUCUGUGGAUUUCCAUUGGAGGCUGAAUAAUUGGACAACUGUGGAUUGCAGAAUUCAACAAAGGUAUAAUUUUAUCACAGUUUUUAUUUAAACACAAAGCAAAUUUUUGGUGGGAAUUGAAAUAUUAUUUAAAUACCGCCGUGCAUAUUUAAAUAAAUUUCCAACAGCUUUUGUACCAAAAAAUCGAGUUCUUUGCAUCUGUAUCUGGUAAUGAGUGGUAAAUUUCUAAGAAUCAAUGUUCAUGCGAAUGCCAAUCACCUUCAUGCCAAUCACCUUUAGAAGGUUCUUCAGUGUUCCGUAAAAAAGAAUACAGAGGAAAAGGAAAUGGAGUUUAGAAAUGAAAUAGGUAAUUGAAAAAGAAAUAUUUGCAUUAGCAUACACCAGAUCUAUCAAGAACCCAAAAGAAAUGGAGAUGGCCAGUGAUGUCACCAAAAAUUUGCAUCCGCUAAUAUCCUGAGCUUGAGGACAGUGAAUGAGUACGAUCGUAGUCUUUCGGUACUUGAAACAAAGGCAACGAUGUGUGUUCUCGUCAUCCCUCCAACGCUUAGGUCAGAAAGGGAAUUUGUGCGUAAGGCUAUAAAUUGGAAAUAAUGAAAAAGGUACUUGGACAAUGAUCCAAUGCUUUGUAUAUAUAAGGGUAGGUAGUACAUCCCUAUUAGAAUUUGAACUGGGUGAAUGUUUUUAUCCAAUAAAGUCAUGUUAGAUAAAUUAGUUAGACUGAUGCUGCAAUUGUAUCAUAGUGGCGUGUUUAAGAUGGAGUCCUUGUGGGGGUCAAGUGUUGGUGUAUUAGGGUAAGGUUGAAGUCCCAAGUGCAUGGAGUCCUAUUAGGUCAAUAGCAACUAUCGUGGGCCGUUAAGAGGCUAUACUACCCGAGGACCGCCUAUCCGGAGAAUGUCCAUCGCAGAAUAUCCAUACCACAUGAUUGCAUAUCCUUGACUUUGACAUACCCAAGGAGGCCAUAUCCUCGAGUACAACAACGGUGAAAUGGUAGGAGAAGGUCAUUCCAUAUCCUCGGGAUAUUUUGUUUGAGCAUGAUAGAAAUCUGGCACAUCAGCUGGGGUGAAAUGAAUGAAGUAAAUCGUGUUAAAAGAGGAUCCUCCAUUUGCCGAUGAUCGAGAGUGCCGAAAACAGCAAAGCUAGGUAUUGAAGCAAUAUGUAAUGAAGUUAGAUAAUGUAAACGAGGAAAUGGGAUGGAAAAGGAAUUAUUUUCUUCUCGAGAAUCCUCCAUAAACAAACAGUGGACCCUUCAUGGCAGUAUUUCCUCUUUGAUUAUCCAAGAGAGAACUGCAUUCUAACUGGAAUUCCAUAACCCAAUUUCCCACUGAAGAGAUGUUCUAAAAUCCAAAUUAGCCAUAUUGAAUCCACCCUCGCCUUUAAUUUUCACCAAUUAUUAAAAAUGAUACUUCUAAUCUUCUUCUGCACGUUUCUUUGUAUGUACAAAAUCACACAUCCCUCAAUCAUUGAUUGUACUUACUUCCAAUGGAAUCAUAAAUCAGGUCAAUACGAAGAAGUUGAUGUAGAAUGUAACAUGAAAAGAGAAAUAGAGAGAGGAGAAGUAGAAUUUGGGGGAGGAAAUCUUUAAUUCAAUAUCAAUGUAAUAUAAAUGAAAACCUUGUCAAAUAUCAAAACAAAUAUAGUCCAUUCCUAAUCAACAUAACUUAGAUGAAACUGUAUUUUAAAAUUCUAUAUAAAUAGUAUCUUUAUUCUUAUCUUUAAUUCCUCAUCAUUUCUCUCUUACUAAAAUAACUUGAUUCUGAAGAGUUAGGUCGUAAUAAUUCUCUAGAGAGGUGCCCUUUUUGAUGAACCACGUACCAGAGAGACUCUUUAAAAAAAAAAAAAAAAAAAAGGUUGAACCCAAUCUUGAGGGCACCCACCACCCUGCCUCUGGAGUAUCGUAAGGGAGGUAAAUCGCGGGAUGUGUUCGACCAAGUCAGGGAAUAAGAGUUUGCCUGUACACUAGUGCCUACAAAGAGUCAAAUUCCUUAUCUCAGGAAUCAAACCCUCACUGCUGAAAUUACCUCACUCCUGUCCUUUGUACCAUUAAGUUAUGCCCCGGGGAGGGGGGCGAAGACUCUAUUUUUAUUCCUAUGAUGACCGGUCAAAUAUGGGAUUAUGUUGGAAAAUGUUUCCCUUAUGUCCUAAAAAUUUAUGAGAAAUAGGUAAAUUCUAUCCUUUUUGCUGACUUGGACUUAUAUGGGAUAAGGUUUAGUUGAUUUGAGGUUAGUAAUGUCAUUUUUGUUAUUAGUCAUCACACAAACUCAAUAGAAGGGGACAAGUGGAUUAGGGUUUCUCAAACUCGUGUUGUAGUGACUUCUACUCAACUAGUUCAUCACAAAGGUAGUAUCAAAUUUAUUUAUUUAAAAAUGACUUUAUAUGUCGAUUUCGCACUGGAUUUGGUUGUUCUGGACAAUUUGAUUUCCACAAAACCGUCCAGUCUUAUAGUCAUUCUCAUCUUCUAUCUCUUUAGAACCCCCCCACCCCCUCCCUUUGGCCAAUAUUGUUGUUUUUUAUGGUAAGAUUCCUUAUGCUAUGACAAUUUUUUCAUAUCUCUUGAAUUUUUUAUGUGGUUGCUUAUGGUAUUGCCCCUGCCUUAUUGCCAAAGGUAGAUUUUAUGGCCCAUAACGGUUUGGCGCCAUUUCCGUUCAUUCUUAUUUAUUUAUUUAUCGUUAAUUUAUUAAUUUUCAGCAGCAAAAACAAGAAUAUUGAUGGUGCUAUCAAAUUUUUUAAGUAUUUGUUUAAUUUCUCGAAGAUUAUAGCAAUAUUGGAUUUGCUAUUGCCAUGGAUGAAAAGGCAAAAAAGGCAAGUGAAAUGAAAACUGAAACAGUAUUUCAAGAAAAAAAACAUAUAAUUAGAAGAAAGAACCAAUUUUAUGAAAGAUGAUGUAAAGCAAUCAGUUGAAGAGUCUUUUAGAGUUGAAUACUUCCUUUUUAUAAUUGAUCAAACUAUACCUUCUCUAAAGACUCGAUUUGAACAAUUUAAAUAAUAUGAAGUGACAUUUGAAUUUUUGCUUAAUUUGAAUAGGUUAAUGCGUGCAACUUUUUCUAGUUUGUCUAAGUCUUAUACAAAUCUUGAGAAGUAUCUAGAAAAUAAUGAAUGUUCGAACAUUAAUGGAGAUGAUUGAUAUUCGAAUUUACAUAUCUUGAGACUAUAUAACAAGUGCAUCAACGAGAGCAAUUGAAGUGUUAUAAUUUUUUAAGACAUUGGAUGAUUGUUUUCCAAAUGCUAAUAUAGUUUACAAAAUUUUGCUCGCUAUACCGAUUAUGGUUGCAUUUGUAGGAAAAAGUUUCUUCAAAUUGAAGUUGAUCAAGAUUUAUCUUCGAUCAACUAUGUCACAAGAAAGAUUGAAUGGAUUCACUAUGUUAUCAAUUGAGAAAGAAUGAUUGAACAGCUAAAUUAUUCAAAUUUGAUUAAUAUUCUUGCCUCUAAAACUGCAAGGUGAAUAGUAUUUAACUACCAUUUGGAACAUUGUUGAAUUUGUUAUCUGAUUAUAAUAUAAUCUUGUUGUAGAAUACAUUUUGUUUGUUAUUUUACUAUUAAAUUUUAAGUUCACAAGUAGUUCCAUAAUACACUUACAAAUUUUGCAUGCAUACUAUAAUUUUGGGAGGCUAAAUUUAUGAAGUUCACCUCAAGCUCCAAAAAUCACAAGAUCGGCCUGCAUGCAGUUGUAAUCUAAAUUGGUGCUUAAUAUCAAUGGUUCUGAAUAACAUUACUCUUUUGUAAAUUAUAGUCUUGCUGCCAUAAAAUAUUACCCAAUAAUUAAUAAUCUCUUGUAUUUAAUCAAAUAUCAUGAAUCAACUGCAUUCUAUAGGUAUAUUUUAAUAUUUUUUUUAUCUAAUAAUUACUACAAAAUAUGAAUAAACUAAUUAGCAAAAUCAAGUUCCUUAGACAAACAUCUAUCUAGACUAGCAUGUUUCUUCUCAAUUGUUUUGAUCUUAAAUUACAUAUCUUGAAAUACCUUAUGAGCUACAAUAUGGAUCUGAAAGAUCAAGAGAAACACAUGUGCGAAGGGCACCUAAGUUUUAAUUUUGUUGGACAAAGGGGAGUCAUCAUCCAUAUCUUCUUCGACUUUCUCUGCACGAUGGUCUAGUGACCAUGUAACUAGCUACUAUAAGAUCUUCAUUGAUAUUUUCUCAUGAACAAUUCGUUGCACAUGUUCUAUAUUUAAAAGGGCAUUAACAGGCAUUUGGUGAUGGAGAAGUUGACAGGUAAGAGUUGCAAGUUUUUGGACACUAGCAAAUACACAUAAAAUAAUUUUCUUAAAUAGUCAUUCUACAAAUUAAUAACCUUCCCUUAUCAAUAAAUUAUAGUUCGAAUGAUCAUAUUAAUUUAGAUAGGUCAGACUAUACAUUUUUAAGGUUUUAGCCGAAAACUACUUUGAAUUAUUUUAUGUUCUUAAAAUUCUAUGCCCAUAUCUGUAUGUAUCCAUUGCCUGGAAGCAAUGCAACAUAAAAAAAGUAGGUUAUAUAUCUCAUUUUUCCCUGUUUCAAGUCAUACCGAAAGCUUUUGACAAUUAUGGCGAUCUGGCCCACUCAAUUUUCAUCUGGUUCUGCUGUGCCAAUUGAGUUUAAUUAACCCAGCUCAACUGUUUAGGGCUGCCAAAUCAACCCAUGCUUCUAGAAUCGUGUCCCUUCUUGACAUGAUUUUGGAAAUUUGCUAAGCUCGGAGAAGUGGCUUUCAAUUAAUUCCCAGUGUGCUUCAAGUCUUAUUAGGUGGAGGAAGUAGUACCACAUCUUUGUUGUACCUUCAUGCACGUUUCCAAUUUUUAGUUUAAUACCCACCCCUUUCUUUGCUUUGUUGAUUUUGCUUACUGAUACAGAAAAAAGUUUUGCACUUGAAACAUUUAGUAGAAUGUUAAAGUACAUAAUCCUUUGUUAAAUCGUGUUGAAUUCAUGAUUUUCCAUCGGGAUUUACAAAUAAAAUGCCUUGACAAAUAAUUGUAUUAGCAUAUGAUAUUCGUGCAACCUCUCUCUCUUUAUUAAUUUAUUUUUUAAUGACUGUGGGUGUUCGGAUCAAUUUACGUCUACCUCGACUGAUCCCAUGAGGUCCUGAAAUUUACAGUCGGAUAUUCACCUCAAUGAUCAUGAGAGGACUUGAACUGACAACCUCUUUCUUUUCUCUACUUGUCUCAUGUUCUCUCUCCUCCACUGUCCACUUCAACAAUUUUCUUUUCACUAAAGAGUUACUCUUUCUUCCUUCUAUAUGCACGUCCACUAAAAUUUUAUUACCAUUAAACUUUUGAAUUGCUCAAAGCCGUCUUACAAAUUCAUUAUAAGUAGUGUAAAAAAUUUAAGUAAUUUCAAAAACAUCUAAUAAUAAUAUUUUUUUUCCUUAAAAUACAAAUUCUAUUUUAGAUUAAGCACGUACAACAAUUAUAGCACAGUUUUUGUUAUUAUUUAACAAAGACUUGUCAAUAGUAGACAUGAUUAGUGACAUAAAGAGAGACGACAAAAAAGGACGAUAAGGUGAAAUAUGACACAUCCCAUGAGAUAUGAAUUAAUUAAACAAUAUGAGAAACAUUUUGUUAAAAAUUGAGGUAUGAAUUGAAAAGAAUGGAAGUUCAUUUUUUUUGUUAAAGUCAAAGUUGAAGAUAAUGUUGAUGGAAAGUGACUUAAGAAGACUAGGUCAAUGAUGAAAUGGGAACUCACUAAUUUUCCUCUUCACAAAAUAUAAAAAUGAAACCAAAGUUGUCCAUUUGGGAUUUGCCAAUGAGCAAUCCAAAGAACAAGUCACUCUUGAAUCACAGUGAUAAUCUGGGAUUUGUGUUCAGUGUUUAUUAUUAAAGAUCAUUAUUUUUUUCCCAAAAACUUUACUAUUUAAGUGAAAGUUUAUAUAUAUUUUUAAAGACAACCCUGCAAAGCGAGGAUCAAAAAGACGCAAUUAUUUGCGAAAUUGUGAAAUCGAAGGUCAUUUUAUGAUAAUCUAAGUUGAUUAAUGAUGCUGAUUUUGCUAGUUUGUUAAAUAAAUUUGAUCAUAUAGAUAUUAGUUUAGACAAAUAAUGUUAUAUGGUGCUAUUAGCCUAUUAUAGAAGACUAAUGUUAUCUAACGUUAGUAAUGUUAGAACACCAAUUUAGGUGACUAUAUUCUAUAUAUUCAAUUAAAUGACCAAUGUGACUUUGCAUUUAAAUAAAUCUAUCAUUUAAUAUCAUGUAAUUGUCAUAUAGAUUAGUGCUUAACACCAGCUAUGAUGAUGUGAGUGAAAAGUUUCACUAAGUUUGUGGAUCUUAAAAAAUGUGUGGUUAAAUUUGAAGUUUGACUUGUUAAAAAUUGAUAAAUUUUUAAUAAUUUUUCAUCAAAUAAGCACUAAAUUUGAUUGGCCUCUAGUACUACAAAUAAGAGAAAAACUUUUAUCACUAGUUGGCUAUUUGUUUAUCCAAAUACAAAAAUAUAUCACUAGCAAAUGAAAAUUAAGUGCAUAUUUGGUAUUGAUUUUCUCCCCAAAAAAUCAAAUUUUGACCAUUAUUUUACUAUUUCAAACGUCAUUUUUGACUUUUUCUCUUAUAGGUAGGAUACAUUUUUCUCUCUAAUGGUCAAAAAAUCAAUUCUCAAAAUCACUAUUGGACAAGUCCUAAGAUUAACACUUUAGAAAAAUUUUGGAGAAAUUUUUUUUUUUUUUUUUUUUUGCUUGCUUUAGUGACUUUUUUGUAAUUAUAUUUUCUCUUGUUUUUUCUUCUACUUGCUUUUUUUUUUUUUGGUUUAAAUUUUGAAAGAUAAAAAUGUAAAAAAUAAAUAUAUACUACUCGAAUUUAGGGAUGGCAACGGAACGGGGCGCCCUCUCCCCGCCUUGCCUUAGAUUGGGCGCGUGCAUGGGUGUGGCAAUUUUUUACCUGUUUAAUUUUAUUUUUUUAAAUUUUUAAAAUUUUCGAGUUAUAUUAUUAUUAGAGAAUAAAAUAUAAAUUUAAAAUAAAUUUUUAAUGGAUAACUUAUUUAGAAAUAAAAUUAUUUUUAAUUUUUUUCCUUUACGGAGCAAGUUGGUCGCCCGAACGGGUUCUUUUUCCCCAUUCUGGGCAGGGCGGGGGAGAAAAAAGAAGAAAUAUAUCAAUAUAUAGAUUUAGUCACUAUUUGGUCCCAAUUUCUUAAAAUUAAUUUUUUUUUCAGUUCAUUUUUAACUUCAUAUUUUAAAGGAUUCACAUUUUUUUAAUCAAUUUUUGGAUCAUAUAAGUCAUCAUUUUUUUUUUUACCGAAAUAUUUUUAACCAAAUCAAUAAGGGAUUUAGUAUAAUAAAAAAAUAUAGUAUUUGAAUUAAAAAUUGAAAUAUUCUUUUUCGAGAUAUUACUCCAUUACAGAUCGAGGUUUUAAUAAUCAAACCUGUUGAACUCAAUACCUAUAAAUUACGUAAAAAAAUCGACAUUCUUACGUCACACAAAGUUAACCUGUCACCGUCUGAACUUGUUAACUGUCUUCCACAGUCGUUCCCCCAAAAUACUCACAUUCUUCGUUACUUCCUUGUUUUCCCCCUUUCUAUUUUUCACUCUUUUAUCCUUUUUUAUUCCCUCCUCUUUGAUGCUCUCGAUUAUUUGUGCAACUUUCCGUGCUUGAUCUCGAUCAAUUUCUGUCUGUUCCGUCAUCGCUUUGGAUAUUUUUUGUCUCGAUUUUGGACUGUAGAAGCUAAGUGAAUCAGUGGAUUAUCAGCAGCGAGCUUCGGAUUUUUUAAGAUAAUUUUUGAUCUGCUAUGAACGAACUGUAGAUACGAAUCUUUGUAAGAUUGAAGAAUUAACGAGAUUUGAGAAAACGGCUUCUGAUUGACGAGAGAUGGCGGAGAGUUGGCGCUACUCGCUCAAUGCUCAAUUAGGUGAUUCCUCUUUCAUGCUUCUCCUUUCAAACUGUUUAUUACGGAUUUUUUUUUCUGUUAUUUUUUUUGAUUAUUAUUAUUAUUAUUAUGGCUGAGUUGAGCUUUUAUUUUCAAAAGUCAGUGUAUGCGCUUUUAGAUUUAUUUAUAUACAGACGUGUAUCUAAACCUAGAAACAGGUGUGUAGAGACAUGUGCCUUUAUAAAAUUCUCAAGCUUAAGGAAUAUGCCUGAUUUUAAGUAGGAAUUGUUUGAGGACAAGAUGUAUAGAGACAUGUGCCUUUAUAAAAUUCUCAAGCUUAAGGAAUAUGCCUGAUUUUAAGGCAAAGAGCAUCUUGUCAACGAAUCUAUUUAUAUGAAUUGAAAUUAGGUGUGCAAAAUAAUUAGCAUAAAACCAUAAUAAUAAUAAUAAUAAUAAUAAUAAUAAUAAUAAUAAUAAUAAUAAUAAUAAUAAUAAUAAUAAUAAUAAUAAUAAGAGGAAAUUUCUGAAGAGUUCAGCUUUAGAGUGAGAGGGGACUGUCCAGCCUUGUUAGAAAAAUAUACCAAAGAAUAAAUCACCGCGAAAGGAUGAAAAAGCAUUUUGAUCUUUUUUGCUUAUAAGAAUGCAAUCCAUGUUUCUUUUGCCACAUUCUAUUUUAUACAAUAGCAUCCACCUGAUUGGAUUCAGAAAAUAUUCCAUGGUGGGUAAACCCAGUUCAUUCUUGAACGUCUUCAUUGAAAUUAACUCUUUUAAGAUAGUUAUAAUGUUUACGCCUUAAAUCUGUUCUCUUUGUAGCACUUGCUACACUUGUUUUCUUAUCAUUGAUUCAUGAUAAUUAUCAGUUCUUAACUUUUCAAUGGCCUCGUGUUAGAUGUUGAUUUCCCUGUCUAACUUGAGUCUCAUUUU